rnacentral:tRNA from 1 species
GCCCGGGUAGCUCAAUGGCUAGAGCGUGCGGCUUUUUCCCGCAAAGUUGGGGGUUCGAGACCCCCCCUCGGACG